rnacentral:rRNA from 1 species
CCACCACAGAAGGUAAUAGUCCUGUAUGUUAAACGAGAAGACUUUAGAUAUGAUCCAGAGUACCACGGGACACGUGAAACCCUGUGGGAAGCAGGAGGGACCACCCUCCAAGGCUAAAUACUACCUAGUGACCGAUAGCGUAUAGUACCGUGAGGGAAAGGUGAAAAGAACCCCGGGAGGGGAGUGAAAUAGAACCUGAAACCCUGCACUUACAAGCUGUGGAAGCACAUUUCUUGUGUGACCGCGUACUUUUUGUAGAACGGGCCAACGAGUUACGUUAAGUAGCAAGGUUAAGCACUUAAGGUGCGGAGCCGUAGCGAAAGCGAGUUUUAACUGAGCGUUCAGUUACUUGACGUAGACCCGAAACCGGGCGACCUACCCAUGAGCAGGAUGAAGCGAAAGUAAAAUUUCGUGGAGGUCCGAACCCACGAGCGUUGAAAAGCUCGGGGAUGACUUGUGGGUAGCGGUGAAAUUCCAAUCGAGCCCGGAGAUAGCUGGUUCUCCCCGAAAUAGCUUUAGGGCUAGCCUCAAGGUGAGAGAUACGGAGGUAGAGCACUGAAUGUCCUAGGGGGUAUUGCACCUACCGAAGACUAUCAAACUCCGAAUGCCGUCAUCUUAUACUUGGGAGUCAGACUGUGGGUGAUAAGAUUCAUAGUCGAAAGGGCAACAGCCCAGAUCGUCAGCUAAGGUCCCUAAAUGUAAGUUAAGUGGUAAAGGAUGUGGGAUUGCACAGACAACCAGGAUGUUGGCUUAGAAGCAGCCACUCAUUCAAAGAGUGCGUAAUAGCUCACUGGUCGAGUGAUCCUGCGCCGAAGAUUUCCGGGGCUAAAACUUACUACCGAAGCUACGGCAUCAGUAAUGAUGGGUAGGGGAGCUUCCCAUACGGGUUGAAGCAUGACCGUAAGGACAUGUGGACAGUAUGGGAGUGAGAAUGUUGGCAUGAGUAGCGAGAUGUGGGUGAGAAUCCCACAGGCCGUAAACCCAAGGUUUCCAGGGGAAGGUUCGUCCGCCCUGGGUUAGUCGGGACCUAAGCUGAGGCCGAAAGGCGUAGGUGAUGGACAACAGGUUGAUAUUCCUGUACUACCGAUAACCGUUUGAGAGAAGGGAUGACACAGUAGGAUAAGCUAAGCACACUGUUGGUUAUGUGUGCCCAAGCAUUGAGGCAGUCAAAGUAGGCAAAUCCGCUUUGAUAAUGCUGGGAUGUGAUGGGGAGCGAAAUUUAGUAGCGAAGUAGCUGAUUUCACACUGUCAAGAAAAGUCUCUAUCGAGGUUAAAGGUACCCGUACCGCAAACCGACACAGGUGGGUGAGGAGAGUAUCCUAAGGCCAGCGAGAGAACUGUUGUUAAGGAACUCGGCAAAAUGACCCCGUAACUUAGGGAUAAGGGGUGCCACCAUCAGGUGGCCGCAGAGAAUAGGCCCAAGCGACUGUUUACCAAAAACAUAGGUUUCUGCUAAGUCGCAAGACGAUGUAUAGGAGCUGACGCCUGCCCGGUGCUGGAAGGUUAAGGGGAUCUGUUAGAGCAAUCGAAGCAGUGAACUUAAGCCCCAGUAAACGGCGGCCGUAACUAUAACGGUCCUAAGGUAGCGAAAUUCCUUGUCGGGUAAGUUCCGACCCGCACGAAAGGCGUAACGAUUUGGGCACUGUCUCAACAACAGACUCGGUGAAAUUGUAAUUCCGGUGAAGAUGCCGGAUACCUGCGACAGGACGGAAAGACCCCAUGGAGCUUUACUGUAGCUUGACAUUGGGUCUUGGUACUACAUGUACAGGAUAGGUGGGAGGCUUUGAAACCAGGACGCCAGUUUUGGCGGAGCCAUCCUUGGGAUACCACCCUUGUAGUACUGGGACUCUAACCAUAGGCCAUGAAUCUGGUCUUGGGACACUGUCAGGUGGGCAGUUUGACUGGGGCGGUCGCCUCCCAAAAGGUAACGGAGGCGCUCAAAGGUUCUCUCAGUACGGUCGGAAAUCGUACGUAGAGUGUAAAGGCAAAAGAGAGCUUGAUUGCAAGACAUACAGGUCGAGCAAGGAUGAAAAUCGGACUUAGUGAUCCGGUGGUUCUGCGUGGAAGGGCCAUCGCUCAACGGAUAAAAGCUACCCUGGGGAUAACAGGCUUAUCUCCCCCAAGAGUCCACAUCGACGGGGAGGUUUGGCACCUCGAUGUCGGCUCAUCACAUCCUGGGGCUGUAGUAGGUCCCAAGGGUUGGGCUGUUCGCCCAUUAAAGUGGUACGCGAGCUGGGUUCAGAACGUCGUGAGACAGUUCGGUCCCUAUCCGUCGCAGGCGUAGGAAAUUUGAGAAGACCUGUCCUUAGUACGAGAGGACCGGGAUGGACGUACCUCUGGUGUACCAGUUGUCCUGCCAAGGGCAUGGCUGGGUAGCUAUGUACGGAAUGGAUAAGCGCUGAAAGCAUCUAAGCGCGAAGCCAACUUCAAGAUAAGAUUUCCCACCGCAAGGGUAAGACCCCAGAAAGACUAUCUGGUUGAUAGGUCGAAGGUGUAAGUGCAGCAAUGUAUUUAGCUUAUCGAUACUAAUAGGUCGAGGACUUGACCAA